CCUACGGGCGGCAGCAGUGAGGAAUAUUGGUCAAUGGCCGAGAGGCUGAACCAGCCAAGUCGCGUGAGGGAAGAAUGUCCUAUGGAUUGUAAACCUCUUUUGUCAGGGAGCAACGUCACUUACGUGUGGGUGUUGGCGAGUACCUGAUGAAAAAGCAUCGGCUAAUUCCGUGCCAGCAGCCGCGGUAAUACGGAGGAUGCGAGCGUUAUCCGGAUUUAUUGGGUUUAAAGGGUGCGUAGGCGGGUUAUCAAGUCUGCGGUAAAAUCGUGGAGCUCAACUCCAUCCAGCCGUUGAAACUGAUGAUCUUGAGUGGGCGAGAAGUAUGCGGAAUGCGUGGUGUAGCGGUGAAAUGCAUAGAUAUCACGCAGAACUCCGAUUGCGAAGGCAGCAUGCCGGCGCCCGACUGACGCUGAAGCACGAAAGCGUGGGUAUCGAACAGGAUUAGAUACCCGAGUAGUC
rnacentral:rRNA from 1 species